rnacentral:lncRNA from 1 species
CUCGUUUUCGUCUACUUCCCAAAUACUCUCUCUAUAUUUCGUUUUUGUUUGCUGCAGUAAUAUCAGCUUCAAGCGAACAAAUUGCCAUUGGAAUGGUAAACCGUAUAGCAAGCACCAAGUUUUUCUUAGUUCUUCUUUUGCACGCAUUCGCAUGUUCCGUAAGCCGCGCAAGCGUAUGCUCGCUCACGAAAAUAUGAGCACAAUGCUCUCACAAGUGGUACAUUUGCUGUUGUUG